UGAUGUAAGAAGGGCUGUAUAAAAACAUUUGAUUUGAUGCUUAGAAGAGUAAGAGAAGUAGAGGGAGGGAUGGAUUGAGAUGCAGAAAGAGAGAGUGAGAGAGAUUAUUAUUGUUUUUAAUGUGCUUAAUAAAAUCAGCCGCAGGGCUUGGGACUGCCACACUAUGCAUCCUAAAUGGCACCGUAUUCCUUUCAUAGUGCACUACAUUUGACCAGAGCCCUUAAAAGUAGUGAACUAUGUAGGGAAUAGGGUGUCAUUUAGGACUCAGCCCCUGAGUUUCCGCAUUACACACACACACACACACACACACACACACACACACACACACACACACACACACACACACACACACACACAGCGACAGGGAACAGGAGACUCGUCCUCUUCUCUCUGGCUCUUCGUCCGCCAGGACAAAUGGUGGACUCCAAUCAAGUUGUAGAAACAUCUCAAGGAUGAUCAAUGGAAACAGGAUGCACAUGAGCUCAAUUGAGAGGCUCAUAGCAAAGGGUCUGAAUACUGAUGUAAAUAAGGACAGUGUGGUGGACUGUCAGCUCUCAGACCUUUGUGAGGAGGACACUGUAGAAGCUGUCCCCACGGUGACAAGGACAGGCAGAGACUGGACAACAUGCUGAUCCUGAAGAAAGGGCUGAGGGACAAUCACACCCUCACAGGACACACCAUCACUGCCCAAGAAUAAAUCUCUACUACAGGAGCUGGGUCGUGGCAGAGGUCUGGCUGUCAAACAGACUGAGAACUUGAGGAAGGCAUCCCACGAGCAGAUGGCUCAGUAUGUCCAGACACAUGAUGCAAAUAUUAAAGAUUAUGCUCCAUAUUGAUGUUGACUAAAAUAGAUUGACCACUGUGCUCACACUGGUUUAGGGAAGUUAUAGAAAUGCUUGAUUCCAUGCCAACUGAUGCCUGUCCCCCUCCCCCACCCUCCAGGUCUAAGAUGCUGCCCAGCGUCGCUCCUCGGUCAGAUCAAUGUUGAUUGCAAUAUCCCUGAGAUGAAUGUUGUAUAUACUAUAACGUUAUGGCUAUGAUGGAGAUAACUUGUACCUUUUUUUUGUACAGGUGUGAAUGAGACAAUGUCUUCCCCUAACCUUGUUCUUUCAAUAAAGUUCAUAUUUUAUUAAUAUUA